UACGUAGGGUGCGAGCGUUGUCCGGAAUUAUUGGGCGUAAAGAGCUCGUAGGCGGUUUGUCGCGUCUGCCGUGAAAACCCGAGGCUUAACCUCGGGCUGGCGGUGGAUACGGGCAGACUAGAGGUAGGUAGGGGAGAAUGGAAUUCCCGGUGUAGCGGUGAAAUGCGCAGAUAUCGGGAGGAACACCGGUGGCGAAGGCGGUUCUCUGGGCCUUACCUGACGCUGAGGAGCGAAAGCCGUGGGGAGCAAACAGGAUUAGAU
rnacentral:rRNA from 1 species